rnacentral:sRNA from 1 species
AUGACAUGCUGGGCCACUAACCCGGUGGUUG